rnacentral:rRNA from 1 species
GGGAUAACAGUUAGAAAUGGCUGCUAAUACCGCAUAAGACCACAGCACCGCAUGGUGCAGGGGUAAAAACUCCGGUGGUAUGAGAUGGACCCGCGUCUGAUUAGCUAGUUGGUGGGGUAACGGCCUACCAAGGCGACGAUCAGUAGCCGACCUGAGAGGGUGACCGGCCACAUUGGGACUGAGACACGGCCCAAACUCCUACGGGAGGCAGCAGUGGGGAAUAUUGCACAAUGGGGGAAACCCUGAUGCAGCGACGCCGCGUGAGCGAAGAAGUAUUUCGGUAUGUAAAGCUCUAUCAGCAGGGAAGAAAAUGACGGUACCUGACUAAGAAGCCCCGGCUAACUACGUGCCAGCAGCCGCGGUAAUACGUAGGGGGCAAGCGUUAUCCGGAUUUACUGGGUGUAAAGGGAGCGUAGACGGCGAGGCAAGUCUGAUGUGAAAACCCGGGGCUCAACCCCGUGACUGCAUUGGAAACUGUUUUGCUUGAGUGCCGGAGAGGUAAGCGGAAUUCCUAGUGUAGCGGUGAAAUGCGUAGAUAUUAGGAGGAACACCAGUGGCGAAGGCGGCUUACUGGACGGCAACUGACGUUGAGGCUCGAAAGCGUGGGGAGCAAACAGGAUUAGAUACCCUGGUAGUCCACGCCGUAA